GACAACGUGCAUUUCCUACUUACAGCAAGUUAACUAUCUAUGGAGUUAACCAACAAAAAUGGAGUUGUUUUCUUAAUCUGCAACAUAAUCGAAAAUGCUGAUUACUCUGCUAAUUAAGCAAAUAUGCUGUAAAUUCUUUGACGAUCGAUGGAAGACAGUAUUAAAAUAGUUUUAAUGAUUCCUCAAACCCUCGGGGUCGAAAAAAUUACUUAAAUGAAUCUUCUGUAUUUUUACAAAUGUAUCAUAAUAAUCAAAUAAUUUAAAGGUAUGCAAGUAAAAGCACUAUAUAAUGUUUAAUUGAACAUGGUGAAAGAGAUUCUCUAAAGAGCAAAUCAAGCUAAUAAGACUUUUGUCUGCAGUCAUAGUAAAUGCACUCCAUACCUACUGGUUUUCAAAAGGAAGGAUUUAUGCAAGGCUUUAUAAUCGAAUUGGCAAAACUUAAAUAUAUACAAUAAUAAUAAAGACAGUAAUCAUCCCUCUUCUCUGCGGAGAACAUACCAGGGCAAACAAGAAAAGCAUAAUUCCAUUUUAAAAUCCAUAAAAAUAAUAUAGAAGACAACUACUUACAAUAUUGAAGUGCUACUGAUCGUAUUCAUGUUAUAACUUUGUCAAAUAGUUUACAUGUUUUACAAAAAACAGUUUUUUUAUUGUAAAAAUCAUCGACAUAGACAAAUAAACACAUAUUAUCUUA